rnacentral:miRNA from 1 species
AGGACGAGGAGAUGGAGAGGA